AGUCAGAAGAUUUACCAAUUGACCAGUUUGGGAGCAUUCCGUAUUUCUGCCCAAUUUGAAUGAGAUUUGGUAGACUUCACAAACUUCCUACGUUUCAUGCCAAGAAUGUGAAGCUACAGAGUAUGAUUCCUUUGGCUGACAUCAAUGAUGCCAAGUUUACUGGGUGGAUUUCAGAUCAUCCCAGAGAUAACUGAAAUCAGUCUAUGAACAGAUGCAAACCAACUGGGGAACACCAGCUGUUGGACACUUGCUCAAGCCUGCUCCCUCUGAGAAGAGGAAAGCUGCCUCCGUGUUCAUUCACAGAGCCCAUUCCCAUAAGACCCCUCCAACGGCCCCUUUCCUUGGAGAACAUGAGAAGUCCCAGAGAAGUCCUCUGGUGGGGGUUCUCCCUCUUCUCAAAAGCAUACACCCCCAAUAAAGUUGGAAAUAUGCUUUUC
rnacentral:lncRNA from 1 species